GAAAAGAUAAGCUAAGAAAGCUAUUAGGUUCAUACCCUAAAGAUAGAUGAAUUUCUUCUUUUUA
rnacentral:tRNA from 1 species